rnacentral:rRNA from 1 species
GACAGAGGGUGCAAGCGUUAAUCGGAAUUACUGGGCGUAAAGCGUGCGCAGGCGGUGAUGUAAGACAGGUGUGAAAUCCCCGGGCUUAACCUGGGAAUUGCAUCUGUGACUGCAUAGCUAGAGUACGGUAGAGGGGGAUGGAAUUCCGCGUGUAGCAGUGAAAUGCGUAGAUAUGCGGAGGAACACCGAUGGCGAAGGCAAUCCCCUGGACCUGUACUGACGCUCAUGCACGAAAGCGUGGGGAGCAAACAGG